AGCAGCAGCCACGGUAAUACGUAGGUGGCAAGCGUUGUCCGGAAUUAUUGGGCGUAAAGCGCGCGCAGGCGGAUCAGUCAGUCUGUCUUAAAAGUUCGGGGCUUAACCCCGUAAUGGGAUGGAAACUGCUGAUCUAGAGUAUCGGAGAGGAAAGUGGAAUUCCUAGUGUAGCGGUGAAAUGCGUAGAUAUUAGGAAGAACACCAGUGGCGAAGGCGACUUUCUGGACGAAAACUGACGCUGAGGCGCGAAAGCCAGGGGAGCGAACGGGAUUAGAUACCCCGGUAGUCCCUGUCUCUUAUACC
rnacentral:rRNA from 1 species